GUCCAUCAUGGCCGACCAAGAAGAUGUUCAAACAACCAAGAGAUAUGUUAGUCCAAAGACAGAAUGAGGAGCGAAUUUCUACCACUUAUUUGUGUAGAAGAGUAUGGUACCAGGGGUGCAGCUGACUCUGAUUCCCGGCUUCUUCGAAUGAAAAAAGGCAGAUGAGGCACUGGAAUCCGAAUGUAAUCCGAAUGUAAUCAAAAAUGCCAUUGUAUGAGGAUUGACCUGCAAUGCAUGGAAAUCAUCUAACCCAACUGCAACGCCUACCUUGGAAAAAUGAGUGCAAGAUGGAAACAAAGCGUUCAGUGGAACAUCUUGUCAUAAAAGUCAUCUGUUGGUCCGUGAUUAUUAAAUAAAUCCGAACAUAUAUUUUAAAAGGGUAAAAUGGUAAAGGAUUUAUCUACGCUUAAAGUGGUUUUCCUAUAUUAUGGAGGGAAGAUAACUACAAAAACAGAAACAGAUGGCAUCAACAGACCGAAAUAAAGGAGAACUAUUUUGUUCAGUUCAAUUUUUAAGACUUCAGAAAAUCUGUUAAUAGGGCACAUCCUUGCAAAUGCCAUAUUGUAAACUGGGCUCUUUAAAAUGUGAAAAGGCGAAAGUGGUCUAGAGGAUAAGCCUCAAAUUCAAGGUUGUGAGUUCAAGACCUCCAAGAUACUUUCUCUUGACCUCAGGAAAAGGAUGCCCAUACUUGUUUCUACUUAGGCAACAGACUUAAGAGUGAUUUUGUAAGCUUCCAGCUUGCAUAGCAAUUUGAUAAGGCAUAACAAAAAGAUGCAAGCUGACUUGCAAACAGUUUUUCCAUUUGUGUUGAUUUAUUUUUCAGUCUGUUGGAAUGUUUAUUAGAAGUGAUGCGCAUUGCUUACUGUAACCAAUAUUUAUGUUCUUUAUUAAGUUAUUAAGUUAAAUUUAACGAACACAUAACAUGGCUUGUGAUUUUACAAAUGCAUGUUUAUUUCGUUGAUUGUAUGAGUUUAUUUUCUCAAAUGAUGUAAUAAAAGUUAUUCUGAAUGACUGUCCUUUUUUGUUUGAA